ensembl:ncRNA asRNA:CR46049 antisense RNA:CR46049
ACAAAUAGAUGGCCACAAUGAGGCCGUAUAGAGCCAGGACCUCGGCGAAGAUCAGGAUCAGGACCAUGCCCACGAAAAGGCGUGGCUGUUCGGCGGUACCCCGGACUCCAGCAUCGCCUGCGAUUCCAAUGGCUACUCCUGCGGUGAGUCCUGGAAGUCCGACGGACAAUCCGGCGCCCAGAUGCACAUAACUGUCUUCCAUCGUAUAAUCAUCGCCAAUCGAUCCGGCUAUCAGGACGGAUACCACCAAUCCGUAGAUCGCAAUAAUUCCCGCCAUUACGACCGGAAUGAUGGCCUUCAUGAUCAUAUCCGGUCGAUUGACCGCCAUCUUGGCGAUUCCGACACCGGAAACUGCUGUUCCGUAAGACGCUCCCAAGGUCGUGAAUAUAAUCGCAACUGCAGCCCCCGUGCAUCCCAAGAAGAAGGCGUAUGAUGGCUCUUCAUUUAAAGCGGCAGUAACCAUUUUGCUUAAAUCGGAUUGAAAUCGAAACAGUUGAAAAGAUGUAGAAUGAAAAAGGAAAUGUAAUCCCAAAUCAAAGCACUUCAGAAAAAGGCGUACUAUGUUUUUUGUUUACAGAAAUAAUUAUAGUAGAUUUACAAAAAAUUCUGAUUAUUGCUGAAGAAAUACUUUAUUAAAGGAU